UCGCUAUUAACAGGGAAAACCUUGUCCAAUUCUAUCCAGAUCAGUUAUAUUUUAGCUAUAUGCUAGUUUGUGGUUCUAGCACAAGGUGUUCACUUACCCGCUCUUCUUAUUUCAAUUUGUUACUGCAAUUCCUUUUGCUUUCUUGAAGCUUACCAUUGUGAGAAUAAAUUGUUUCUCUUUUUUCCCCUUACAGAGAAGACAAUAAGAAAAUUGCUAGGCACUCAAACUUUUGC
rnacentral:lncRNA from 1 species